rnacentral:misc_RNA from 1 species
GAUGAAGAACGCAGCGAAAUGCGAUAAGUAAUGUGAAUUGCAGAAUUCAGUGAAUCAUCGAAUCUUUGAACGCACCUUGCGCCCUUUGGCUAUUCUGAAGGGCAUGCCUGUUUGAGUAUCAUGAACACCUCAACUCUCAUGGUUCGCCAUGAUGAGCUUGGACUUUGGGGGUCUUGCUGGCCUACGGUCGGCUCCUCUCAAAUGAAUCAGCUUGCCAGUGUUUGGUAGAGUCGCAGGUGUGAUAACUAUCUACGCUUGUGGUUUUCUGCCAGAUAACCUUCAGUGAUGGAGGUUCGCUGGAGCUUAUAAAUGUCUCUCCCCAGUGAGGACAGCUUUUUGAACGUUUGAUCUCAAAUCAGGUAGGACUACCCGCUGAACUUAAGCAUAUCAAUAAGCGGAGGA